UCACAGCUUGCGCCGGCAGUCUCGACAGAGUCCUCGACUCUACUCGUUAGCAACUGUCGAUAGGGGUUGCGCUCGUUAUGGCACUUAAGCCGACACCUCACGGCACGAGCUGACGACAACCAUGCAGCACCUCGCAUAAUGCCCCGAAGGGAAACAAUCUUUCAACUGUCGUCAUUAUGCGUUUGAGCCCGGGUAAGGUUCCUCGCGUAUCAUCGAAUUAAACCACAUGUUCCUCCGCUUGUGCGGGCCCCCGUCAAUUCCUUUGAGUUUCACCGUUGCCGGCGUACUCCCCAGGUGGAAUGCUUAACGCUUUCGCUGUCCCGCUCAGCCAUCAAUCUGGCCAAACAGGUAGCAUUCAUCGUUUACUGCGUGGACUAC
rnacentral:misc_RNA from 1 species